rnacentral:rRNA from 1 species
GACGAACGCUGGCGGCGUGCUUAACACAUGCAAGUCGAACGGAAAGGCCCUGCUUUUGUGGGGUGCUCGAGUGGCGAACGGGUGAGUAACACGUGAGUAACCUGCCCUUGACUUUGGGAUAACUUCAGGAAACUGGGGCUAAUACCGGAUAGGAGCUCCUGCUGCAUGGUGGGGGUUGGAAAGUUUCGGCGGUUGGGGAUGGUCUCGCGGCUUAUCAGCUUGUUGGUGGGGUAGUGGCUUACCAAGGCUUUGACGGAUAGCCGGCCUGAGAGGGUGACGGGCCACAUUAGGACUGAGAUACGGCCCAGACUCCUAAGGAAGGCAGAAGUGGGGAAAAUUGCACAAAGGGCGGAAGCCUGAUGCAGCAACGCCGCGUGCGGGAUGACGGCCUUCGGGUUGUAAACCGAUUUCGCCUGUGACGAAGCGUGAGUGACGGUAAUGGGUAAAGAAGCACAGGCUAACUACGUG